AUUGAAAGCUGGCGGCAGGCUUAACACAUGCAAGUCGAGCGGGGUGAUGGUGCUUGCACUAUCACUUAGCGGCGGACGGGUGAGUAAUGCUUAGGAAUCUGCCUAUUAGUGGGGGACAACAUCUCGAAAGGGAUGCUAAUACCGCAUACGUCCUACGGGAGAAAGCAGGGGAUCACUUGUGACCUUGCGCUAAUAGAUGAGCCUAAGUCGGAUUAGCUAGUUGGUGGGGUAAAGGCCUACCAAGGCGACGAUCUGUAGCGGGUCUGAGAGGAUGAUGCGCCACACUGGGACUGGGACACGGCCCAGACUCCUACGGGAGGCAGCAGUGGGGAAUAUUGGACAAUGGGGGGAACCCUGAUCCAGCCAUGCCGCGUGUGUGAAGAAGGCCUUAUGGUUGUAAAGCACUUUAAGCAAGGAGGAGGCUCUUUUGGUUAAUACCCAAGAUGAGUGGACGUUACUCGCAGAAUAAGCACCGGCUAACUCUGUGCCAGCCGCCGCGGUAA
rnacentral:rRNA from 1 species